CGGCCCUGACGUGGCGCCACGGGGACGGCAGCCGAGUCUGUCCCCCUGGCCUGCACACGAGCGUGCACGCGGGCAGCUCGGAUCUUCUGCGUGUUACACGGAACCAGAUGCUGGGAGGUCUGCUGCUGAACCACCCAGGGCACCUUUUCAGCACUAAGACACUUGCAAAGCAAAUAGGGAAGAAGCCCCAGUAAGCACAAGCCCUGCAUCCAGCAGGUGAGUUUCCCCGACAGCUUCCUCAGUCCUGGAACGAGGCGUUCGGCGCUGGCGGCCCCUGCCUGCCCAGCAUGAGAGGUGCUCAGCACAGACUUGCUGGAUGAAUGGGUGAGAUGUGCCCUAUUUUUAUUCUUACGCCCAGCUGCCCACGGGACACCACCCGCGGGAAUGACCAGCUGGAAUCUCAAGUCCAAAACCAGGCUCCGGAUUUCUUCUGCCUUCACCGUCGAGGCCACGGCAUCACCUGUCGCCUUACUCCUCGAGCCCAUAAACAUUUUAAAAGAAUUGCA